UGGAAACAGUAUUACUGAACUUGUUACUACGAAUUAACAUAUUUUUAACGAUCAGCGACAUCUAUGAUAAAAGGAAUAUAUUAAAUUAAUACUUACAGUUAGAUCGAUAACAUUGUGAGUGAUGAGGAUAUGGUAUAUGACGAUAUGAACCAUUUACAAAUAAACUAUUGUAUAUGUAUCAAACAAUUUGGAAUUUAUUUGAAAAUUUAUUUGAUAGAAAUUGCAGAUAUGGAUAUAUAAGAAUUCCUAUCACAGAAAAUAUUAAUUGAAGAAAAAAAAGAAAUGUUUCCGCCCGGGAUCGAACCGGGGACCUUCCGCGUGUUAGGCGGAUGUGAUAACCACUACACCACGGAAACACGUGGCAGGUACUCUUUUCAUAAAAUAUUUAUGACACUCUUAAAUUUAAAAUUAAAAAAAACAAAUACAAUAUUCAACAUUAUAUUACGUAAUAUGCAUAAUUCUCAAAUUACGUGAAAAAAUUCAAUUU